rnacentral:rRNA from 1 species
AUUGAACGCUGGCGGCAUGCCUUACACAUGCAGGUCGAACGGUAACGCAGGGCAACCUGGCGACGAGUGGCGAACGGGUGAGUAAUGUAUCGGAACGUGCCCAGUUGUGGGGGAUAACUGCUCGAAAGAGCAGCUAAUACCGCAUACGACCUGAGGGUGAAAGCGGGGGAUCGCAAGACCUCGCGCAAUUGGAGCGGCCGAUAUCAGAUUAGGUAGGUGGUGGGGUAAAGGCCCACCAAGCCAACGAUCUGUAGCUGGUCUGAGAGGACGACCAGCCACACUGGGACUGAGACACGGCCCAGACUCCUACGGGAGGCAGCAGUGGGGAAUUUUGGACAAUGGACGCAAGUCUGAUCCAGCCAUGCCGCGUGCGGGAAGAAGGCCUUCGGGUUGUAAACCGCUUUUGUCAGGGAAGAAAAGGGCGACUCUAAUACAGUUGCCUCAUGACGGUACCUGAAGAAUAAGCACCGGCUAACUACGUGCCAGCCGCCGCGGUAAGAC